GUUAAGCGACUAAGCGUACACGGUGGAUGCCCUGGCAGUCAGAGGCGAUGAAGGACGUGCUAAUCUGCGAUAAGCGUCGGUAAGGUGAUAUGAACCGUUAUAACCGGCGAUUUCCGAAUGGGGAAACCCAGUGUGAUUCGUCACACUAUCAUUAACUGAAUCCAUAGGUUAAUGAGGCGAACCGGGGGAACUGAAACAUCUAAGUACCCCGAGGAAAAGAAAUCAACCGAGAUUCCCCCAGUAGCGGCGAGCGAACGGGGAGCAGCCCAGAGCCUGAAUCAGUGUGUGUGUUAGUGGAAGCGUCUGGAAAGGCGCGCGAUACAGGGUGACAGCCCCGUACACAAAAAUGCACAUGCUGUGAGCUCGAUGAGUAGGGCGGGACACGUGGUAUCCUGUCUGAAUAUGGGGGGACCAUCCUCCAAGGCUAAAUACUCCUGACUGACCGAUAGUGAACCAGUACCGUGAGGGAAAGGCGAAAAGAACCCCGGCGAGGGGAGUGAAAAAGAACCUGAAACCGU
rnacentral:rRNA from 1 species